rnacentral:rRNA from 1 species
UACGUAGGGGGCAAGCGUUGUCCGGAUUUACUGGGCGUAAAGCGCGCGUAGGCGGAAGGUGAAGCGUGGCCUGAAAGCCCCCGGCUCAACCGGGGAAGGCGGCUGCGAACUGGCCUUCUUGAGGGCGAUAGAGGGGGGCGGAAUUCCUGGUGUAGCGGUGAAAUGCGCAGAUAUCAGGAAGAACACCCGUGGCGAAAGCGGCUCUCUGGAACGGUACUGACGCUGAGACGCGAAAGCGUGGGGAGCGAACAGG